rnacentral:rRNA from 1 species
UACGUAGGUGGCAAGCGUUGUCCGGAAUUAUUGGGCGUAAAGCGCGCGCAGGUGGUUCCUUAAGUCUGAUGUGAAAGCCCCCGGCUCAACCGGGGAGGGUCAUUGGAAACUGGGGAACUUGAGUGCAGGAGAGGAAAGUGGAAUUCCACGUGUAGCGGUGAAAUGCGUAGAUAUGUGGAGGAACACCAGUGGCGAAGGCGACUUUCUGGCCUGUAACUGACACUGAGGCGCGAAAGCGUGGGGAGCAAACAGG